UGCAGUCGAGCGGAACGAGUUAUCUGAACCUUCGGGGGACGAUAACGGCGUCGAGCGGCGGACGGGUGAGUAAUGCCUAGGAAAUUGCCCUGAUGUGGGGGAUAACCAUUGGAAACGAUGGCUAAUACCGCAUAAUACCUACGGGUCAAAGAGGGGGACCUUCGGGCCUCUCGCGUCAGGAUAUGCCUAGGUGGGAUUAGCUAGUUGGUGAGGUAAUGGCUCACCAAGGCGACGAUCCCUAGCUGGUCUGAGAGGAUGAUCAGCCACACUGGAACUGAGACACGGUCCAGACUCCUACGGGAGGCAGCAGUGGGGAAUAUUGCACAAUGGGCGCAAGCCUGAUGCAGCCAUGCCGCGUGUGUGAAGAAGGCCUUCGGGUUGUAAAGCACUUUCAGUCGUGAGGAAGGUAGUGUAGUUAAUAGCUGCAUUAUUUGACGUUAGCGACAGAAGAAGCACCGGCUAACUCCGUGCCAGCAGCCGCGGUAAUACGGAGGGUGCGAGCGUUAAUCGGAAUUACUGGGCGUAAAGCGCAUGCAGGUGGUUUGUUAAGUCAGAUGUGAAAGCCCGGGGCUCAACCUCGGAAUAGCAUUUGAAACUGGCAGACUAGAGUACUGUAGAGGGGGGUAGAAUUUCAGGUGUAGCGGUGAAAUGCGUAGAGAUCUGAAGGAAUACCGGUGGCGAAGGCGGCCCCCUGGACAGAUACUGACACUCAGAUGCGAAAGCGUGGGGAGCAAACAGGAUUAGAUACCCUGGUAGUCCACGCCGUAAACGAUGUCUACUUGGAGGUUGUGGCCUUGAGCCGUGGCUUUCGGAGCUAACGCGUUAAGUAGACCGCCUGGGGAGUACGGUCGCAAGAUUAAAACUCAAAUGAAUUGAC
rnacentral:rRNA from 1 species